rnacentral:rRNA from 1 species
AUUGAACGCUGGCGGCAGGCCUAACACAUGCAAGUCGAACGGUAACAGGAAGAAGCUUGCUUCUUUGCUGACGAGUGGCGGACGGGUGAGUAAUGUCUGGGAAACUGCCUGAUGGAGGGGGAUAACUACUGGAAACGGUAGCUAAUACCGCAUAACGUCGCAAGACCAAAAAGGGGGACCUUCGGGCCUCUUGCCAUCGGAUGUGCCCAGAUGGGAUUAGCUAGUAGGUGGGGUAACGGCUCACCUAGGCGACGAUCCCUAGCUGGUCUGAGAGGAUGACCAGCCACACUGGAACUGAGACACGGUCCAGACUCCUACGGGAGGCAGCAGUGGGGAAUAUUGCACAAUGGGCGCAAGCCUGAUGCAGCCAUGCUGCGUGUAUGAAGAAGGCCUUCGGGUUGUAAAGUACUUUCAGCGGGGAGGAAGGGAGUAAAGUUAAUACCUUUGCUCAUUGACGUUACCCGCAGAAGAAGCACCGGCUAACUCCGUG